UUGAAUUUUAAUGAAGGGAUUUGGUUGUAGCUGGCCCCAUUAACUUUGGGCAUGUGCACACCCUUUCUCUUUCAUCCACACACACCUGUGCACCUGUGAGGCAGAUGGGGAAUUUAUUGAUUGUUUUUUUUUCUUAAAGAACAAUUGGUCUUGCACCCUCUGUCUACUUAAUCUAUAUAUAAACUCAAUUUAUUUAGAAAUGAAUGUAAUGGAUGUAACACAUCUAAUAC
rnacentral:misc_RNA from 1 species